CACGCAAACCAGCCUCAGAUUAGCAAGUGCACCUCAGUGGGGCUGGUGUCAGAAGCCGGUGGGGAGACGCCGUUGGGAUGUGGCAUGAGGGACUCAGGCAGCUCUUCUGAUCCUGACCCCCCAGGAUGCUGAUCUGAGGGAACUGAGGCAGAGGGUAUGCUCAGGAGCCAGGAACCGUGCAGAGCCUGGCAAGCCCUGCCAGGGACUGAAUAGGCAGAGAGGCCUGGGCUGGAAGUGACAGGGAAGGCUGUCUGUGUUUCUGUGGCCCCGGCUGCCCUGUCUCAGUCGUUCGCCCAGAGCAGGGAAGGCAGGCCUGAGGAGGGCCAGACUUCACGGGUCACUUGCUGGAUUUCAUCCUGCUCCACUGGCUUCUUCCUGACGCUGUUCCCCGAGGCCAAGUGACCACUCAAACGGCAUGACCUUUCUCAGCCACUUCUGGAUGCCCCCAGCUGGCAGCAUUCUCUCCCAGGUGAAUGGGUUUGUUUUUCUCUCCCCAUCCUUCAUCCCUGAUCAGGUUUCCAUUCUGCAGAGGUCUCUUCUUGCAGAAAGACAGUUACCCUGAGGGGGCAUCAGAGUCCAUCUGCAGCUCUCCACUUCUCAGAAAUGCAUGUUCCAGCCCCUGGGGCCGAGGGAAGGCCAGAUGUGCCAGUGUCCCACAGCAGAGGUCUGACUUUUGGAAGCCAUUUCUGCCUGCUUUGCCUGACAUGAUCAAGGAGACAGGAGGGCCCAGACAGGGGUUCGAGCCUCUAGUUCCUAAAGGGUUAGCCUUAAAAGUUUCUUUCCUGCCAGAGAAAAAAUAGCAAACAUAAAAACAGACACACUAGACCAAGCACUGGAGGACAACCGGCAGCAGCCCCUGAAGCCGGGCCUUGCACACCUGCCAUUGCCCUGGGCACACAGCGGACGUGCCGGAAGGCCUGUGCCAGGAUGUCUUGGACUCUGAAACAGGGGAGACCCAGGGCCCACCUGUGGGGAUGGAACACUGGUACAUCAUGCAAGCACCAUCAGGCAGUGAGAGUGAGCAGGUUUUGCUGUACACGAGGACACGCACGGGUGUCUCCGGGCACUGUGGGCAGAAGAGGCUGGACUCAAGGGCGUGUGCUCUAUCAUUCCACUUACAUAAAGGUCCCCACCAGGCAAAACCAUGGUGCUGGAGUAGCAGAGGGCAGUGAUGGAGCCUACCAGGGACCAGAAAUAUUCUGAAUCUUGAUCUAAGAGAUGCUUUCAUGAAAUUUCAUCAAUGUGGACGCCUAAGAUGUGUGCAUGUUACUGUAUGUAUGUUGUAUUUCAAUGAAUAGGUUUAUCAAAAAAUAAUGUCCUUCACAGCAGGGCUGCAGCAUGGGGCAUGUCUCUUGUCCUGAGAGGUCCCUAUACCUUCCAAAUUUAUAGGCCUCUCAGGAGCUACAGGCUGACAUGGCAAAAUGACCAUCUGUGUGCUUUCAGAAUUAUUCUGUUGGCCAGAGACACAAAGGAAAUGAAAAGUUAUAUGCAAUUUAUGAAUGUACUGCCUGGGCUGUCUGUUAAGGCCAAGACCUGAAUAUUGAGUCUAUUAUAAGCAAUUAUAAAAAGGAUAGCAUUCCUUAAUGUUUCUCACUUGAUAGGAAGGGUUUUAAAUAUGGGACAUUAGUUAAUAAAAAGUCCCCAGAAGCCUAUUGUAAUAUAUUACCUAAUUCCUAACAGUUCAUAGUCACUGAAAUAGGUAAAAGGGGAAUGUAAAAUUAAUAUAUAGUUAUUAUUAAAAUUGUCUUAUAAAUUAGUUAAGUGCCCUGGAGGUACAGAGUGGGCAUGAUUAUUCUAAGACAGUCUCAAGGGCCAUGGUGCACCCUGUGUAUUUGUGGAAUGGGAAUGCCGUAGCCAGGAGGGGAGCAAGCUCUAGCUCUGUAGUUUUAAGGAUAAAACAUGCUGAAAGAGUUGAGAACUAGCAACCAGACUACAAAAAUUUGAUAAAGAAAUCUCUUCCCUAGUUACUGAAAUUUCUGGGGAGGCCAGUGCUUUGAGGCAUCACCAAGCCUGUUCUUUGCCAGCAUCCAGGAAAGAUAGCUGGAUUCCCAUGGGUUGGAAUUGGUUGGGGGCCACAGACAGGUGUUUGUGUAGCUCCUGGAGACCACCAGUUUCCCAGAACUGAUGGGGCAAAAAUAAUGCCCUGAAAGUGUUUGCUCCCAGCAAACCCUGCUGCAGGGACGCAGUGAAGGUGGGUCUGAGCCGCAUGCCCAGCCACAGCUGCGGGUUGGUACAGCUGAGGGGCCAUGGUGCCUCUGGAGGACAGGUGCAUGUGACUCCGGCAGUGUCAGAGCCACAGGCUCAGGUGGCACGUGCAGGGAGCCACAGCUUCCCACCUUUAUGGAGCAGCAGUACACUUGAUUGGGGGAUUUAGCAGCUGGGAAUGGAAAUCCACUCAAAUGCAAGUCAUUAGCUGAAUGUGAGUUCUCUUUCCAGGAGCUUUGGUGAAUGUCACGUUUUGUGUGUGCUAGGUGAUUUACCUAGUACCUGCUGAAUCUGUUUCCAGUGGCAGGCUUGCUUCCCCUGAUGGCACAGUCUCCUGGGCAGAGAAGCUUUCUUCUCCCAGGGGAGACAGAGAGCUGGGGGUUUUCCCAGCGACAGCACCAGAGGCAAAUUUGCUUUCUGCUUCAGUCCUUCAGAGCUUCACAUUCAGCCGCUUCCUGUCCCUGGCUCCCUCCAUUCCAGCAGGAGCCCAAGCCAUGCGUGUUUUCCUAAGGGGGGUGUGGUCCGUGGAAGGGAGCAAGCUUGCUGUGGGCAGCUAGAGGAAGCAGGUGAGGCUGUUUGCUCACCAAUCUCUGACAUCACCCAGCUCACCCUGCAGGAGGGACACCUUCAAGUGCACACAGAGGUUUUUGCCACAGAAUCUGAUUCCAGCAAAGAGAGAUAAGUGGUCUUUUAAAGCAAGGCUGAGCAGGUACUCAUGUGGCUUGGAUUCUCCUCACACCAUACCAAAGAGCCUUGCCUUGAAUUGUGGUCCUCCCAAGCUAGACAGAAGGUUUUCACAAGGUGCGCCAUGUGGGUGGCAGGUUGUGUGCGCCUGCGACCUCUUGUGGCCGCUCCUCAGAGUCAUCCUGGAUGGUGGCCGUGUGGGUUGUGUCCACUGGUCCCAGCACAUCUGAAAGGCCUUCUGGGGCCAGGGGACUAGGCAGGGACCAGGGGAGCUAGUCUUUAACAAGUAGUUCUUGUUCCUUCCAAAAAAAUGUUUUCAAAGCGAACACAGCUGUCUCUGGGAAAGAUACUGCAUGUGCCAGCAGGAAAUUUAGUCACAAGAUAUGGAAAAAAUCCUGUGCUGCAGAGGUUCACUAACCGUUGUUGCUUUAAGAGACAAACUUCUAGAUCUCUCCAGGGGUACAGGCAGACUUUGAUGUCCUGGGAUCACAAUAGGUGGAACUUACACCUCCUCUUUGAAGUGGAAAUCUCUUCCCCUGGGUGAACUGAGGCACA